rnacentral:misc_RNA from 1 species
UCUAUCAGGAUGCGCCUGAUUACCGAACGUCAUCAUUACGGACCAAGAGAUGAACUGAGACAAAAAAUUCUGCUAUGAAAGCAAAACAGACAAAACUAACGACUGAAAGUACAAGAAAGGGAAGUGAACAAGGAAGCAGAAAAAGCAGUUUGAGGCUUUUUCGUCAACUUUUCGUCCUCCUUCGUGUUCAUUUCGACGAUCACUUCCGGCGCAUCUGGCACUACAACGGAUCUAACAUUUUCGGUAUCUUUCUGCGGAACUUCUACGGGAGGUUGAUCGCCUUGUACCUCUGAUGUCGCCACUGGUUUUGGCGCAUCUAAGUAAGCACAGUCUUGCUGAUCCGUCUUUACGAAAAACGUUUUGGAAAUCUUGUAGCUGUCAAGGACGGCGUAAGCCUAUUUGGAAAGUAAUUUAUAUUAUAUUUCUACUGUAUAAUAAAAUCCCUC